AAUAAGAUGCCUGAAUUAAAGGAUUAUUUUGAUAGAAUAAAUUAUGCAUAAUUAUAUAGAUGUUCUUAUUA
rnacentral:tRNA from 3 species